GCCAAUCCUCUCCCUCUUCUAAACCCUAACCCUAAAAUGUCCCUCCUCUCCGCCGCCGCCGCCAUCGCCGCCGUGGCGGCUCUUUUCCUCCUCCCGCCGCCGGCCGCCGCGAGGAUCCCCGGCGUCUUCACCGGCGGGCCGUGGGAGAGCGCGCACGCCACCUUCUACGGCGGCAGCGAUGCCUCCGGCACCAUGGGUGGG
rnacentral:misc_RNA from 1 species